rnacentral:rRNA from 1 species
UAGGGAAUCUUCCGCAAUGGACGAAAGUCUGACGGAGCAACGCCGCGUGAGCGAUGAAGGCCUUCGGGUCGUAAAGCUCUGUUGUUAGGGAAGAACAAGUACCGUUCGAAUAGGGCGGUACCUUGACGGUACCUAACCAGAAAGCCACGGCUAACUACGUGCCAGCAGCCGCGGUAAUACGUAGGUGGCAAGCGUUGUCCGGAAUUAUUGGGCGUAAAGCGCGCGCAGGCGGUUCCUUAAGUCUGAUGUGAAAGCCCACGGCUCAACCGUGGAGGGUCAUUGGAAACUGGGGAACUUGAGUGCAGAAGAGGAAAGCGGAAUUCCACGUGUAGCGGUGAAAUGCGUAGAGAUGUGGAGGAACACCAGUGGCGAAGGCGGCUUUCUGGUCUGUAACUGACGCUGAGGCGCGAAAGCGUGGGGAGCAAACAGGAUUAGAUACCCUGGUAGUCCACGCCGUAAACGAUGAGUGCUAAGUGUUAGGGGGCUUCCGCCCCUUAGUGCUGCAGCUAACG